GUGGCUAGCGAACAUUGUAAGAUACUCCAGAUUCUCUACCAGGAUGAGGUCGAUGAUGCAGCUGGAUCAUUUUUGUUCCACCUGCGGCCUGGGUAGAGUAUCUUGGGCUAUCUUACUAUGUUCUCUGAUCAC